ACUGUAAGGAGCAGUGGAGAGUUAAGAAGAGAGAAUGCCGGAAUGAGUAGCGAGAUUUAAGUGAGAAUCUUAAAGGCCGAAUAUCUAAGGUUUCCAGGGUAAAGCUGAUCUUCCCUGGGUAAGUCGGGGCCUAAGGCGAGGGCGAGAGCCGUAGUCGAUGGAUAACAGGUUGAAAUUCCUGUACUGCUUAUGGACAGAACUGUGGGGACGCAGAAGGAGAGCACGAGCCGGAAAUGGAAAAGCCGGUACAAGCGUAUAGCAGUCAUGCAGGCAAAACCGCAUGAAAAAUGUAAAGCGUUAUGUGGAUCGAACAUUAGUAGAGAAGCGUGUGAGCCAGCUGCCAAGAAAAGCCGCUAUUGUUUCAUAAGUACCCGUACCGUAAACCGACACAGGUGGAUGAGGAGAGAAUCCUAAGGCCGGCGGGAGAAGUGUUGUUAAGGAACUCGGCAAAAUGACUCCGUAACUUCGGGAGAAGGAGUGCCACAGAGAUGUGGCCGCAGAGAAAUGGCCCAAGCAACUGUUUAGCAAAAACACAGGUCUAUGCAAAACCGAAAGGUGAGGUAUAUGGGCUGACGCCUGCCCGGUGCUGGAAGGUUAAGAGGAGAGGUUAGAGCAAUCGAAGCUUUGAAUUUAAGCCCCAGUAAACGGCGGCCGUAACUAUAACGGUCCUAAGGUAGCGAAAUUCCUUGUCGGGUAAGUUCCGACCCGCACGAAAGGUGUAAUGAUUUGGGCACUGUCUCAACAACACACCCGGUGAAAUUGAAAUACCAGUGAAGAUGCUGGCUACCUGCGCCAGGACGGAAAGACCCCAUGGAGCUUUACUCCAGUUUGAUACUGGGAUUCGGUACUGUCUGUACAGGAUAGGUGGGAGGCUAGGAAAUGGUGACGCCAGUUGCCAUGGAGCCAACCUUGGGAUACCACCCUUACAGUACUGGGUUUCUAACCUGCAGCCGUAACCCGGCUGGGGGACAAUGUCUGACGGGGAGUUUGACUGGGGCGGUCGCCUCCGAAAGAGUAUCGGAGGCGCUCAAAGGUUCCCUCAGAACGGUUGGAAACCGUUCGAAGAGUGCAAAGGCAGAAGGGAGCUUGACUGCGACACCGACGGGUGGAGCAGAUACGAAAGUAGGACUUAGUGAUCCGGUGGUAUAAAGUGGGAUUGCCAUCGCUCAACGGAUAAAAGCUACCCUGGGAUAACAGGCUUAUCACUCCCAAGAGUUCACAUCGACGGAGUGGUUUGGCACCUCGAUGUCGGCUCAUCGCAUCCUGGAGCUGUAGCAGGUUCCAAGGGUUGGGCUGUUCGCCCAUUAAAGCGGUACGCGAGCUGGGUUCAGAACGUCGUGAGACAGUUCGGUCCCUAUCCGGCGUGGGCGUAGGAUAUUUGAGAGGAGCUGUCCUUAGUACGAGAGGACCGGGAUGGACAAACCUCUGGUGUAUCUGUUGUUUUACCAAAGGCAUGGCAGAGUAGCCAAGUUUGGCAGGGAUAAACGCUGAAGGCAUCUAAGCGUGAAGCCCCCCUCAAGAUAAGAUAUCCCAUCUUCGGAGUAAGACCCCUUGAAGACUACAAGGUUGAUAGGCUUCAGGUGUAAGUGUGGUAACGCACUCAGCUGAGAAGUACUAAUAGGUCGAGGACUUAUGAA
rnacentral:rRNA from 1 species